UCCCUCCUACGGGGGGCAGCAGUGGGGAAUAUUGCACAAUGGGGGAAACCCUGAUGCAGCGACGCCGCGUGAGCGAUGAAGUAUUUCGGUAUGUAAAGCUCUAUCAGCAGGGAAGAAAAUGACGGUACCUGACUAAGAAGCCCCGGCUAACUACGUGCCAGCAGCCGCGGUAAUACGUAGGGGGCAAGCGUUAUCCGGAUUUACUGGGUGUAAAGGGAGCGUAGACGGCCAUUCAAGCCAGAUGUGAAAGCCCGGGGCUCAACCCCGGGACUGCAUUUGGAACUGUGUGGCUAGAGUGUCGGAGA
rnacentral:rRNA from 1 species